rnacentral:lncRNA from 1 species
AAAAAGAUGAGAAAAUUCAAAGAAAAAAAAGAGAAAAAAAUAUUAUGAGAAAUAUCAUGAAGCACUUAUCUAGAAGUAUUAAGGUUGGCAAAAAUCAUGCUCAAAAGAGCAAUAAAAAGAAAAAAAAAAUGAGCCAAUGAAUCUCAACAAGAGCGGUGUCCAAAAGAAAUACCCCUUGAUUUUUAGAUUGAACAACAAUUACGAGGGUAACAACACAAACUCUGAGCCUAAACCCCAUAGUAUUCCCCUUUUUGUUUUG